rnacentral:rRNA from 1 species
UUGUGUGCUAUCAUAUCUGUCUCUGGUGGUUAACCUUUUUUGUCUAGGCAGGAGUAUCAUGUUUCUUUCAAAAGAAGGCUCUUACAAGAUAUCUCAUACUGGCAAAAAUACCUUACCACCAAUUGAAUACACAAACCUUUGUAUGUUUUUUUUAAGUCUGAAUCAUUCACUUUUGUGCAAUGAAAAAACAACUUUUGACAACGGAUCUCUUGGCUCUCGCAACGAUGAAGAACGCAGCGAAUUGCGAUAAGUAAUGUGAAUUGCAGAAUUCAGUGAAUCAUCAAAUCUUUGAACGCACAUUGCGCUUUCUGGUAUUCAGGAAAGCAUGCCUGUUUGAGAAUCGAUCAACUCUCACCAGCCCGUUUACUUGAUCUGCAACGCUCAUGCUCUCGAUUUAUUUCGAGCUUGGUUUUGUGAGAAUUUUAUUCGGAACGGUGGAUUUGGGUUAUUUGCAAAUUUAUUUUUGCAAUGACCUUCAAUUUAAUGUAUGACCACCAUCUGCUGAUGGUAUAGAGGUUUGAGUGCAUGAAUAAGGUUAAUUCCUUUUUGAUUUCUCUCUUCCUUUAUGCAAUGUUGACAGUUGCUGUUCAUCUCACCUAAUAACUUCAUUGUGCUGCUCAUUUUGAGCUUCAUUUUGAACACUUGGUCUCAAAUCAGGUAGGAAAACCCGCUGAACUUAAGCAUAUCAAUAAGCGGAGGAAAAGAAACUAACAAGGAUUCCCCUAGUAACGGCGAGUGAAGCGGGAAUAGCUCAAAUUUAAAAUCUUGUAGGGUUACCUGCACGGAUUGUAGUUUAGAGAAACGUUUUCGGGUCUGACAUGGGCAUAAGUCCUUUGGAACGAGGCAUCAUAGAGGGUGAGAAUCCCGUUUUUGGCCCAUUGUUCAGUCCUAUGUGAUACGUUUUCCAAGAGUCGGUUUGUUUGGGAAUGCAGACCAAAAUGGGUGGUAAAUACCAUCUAAAGCUAAAUAUUGGCGAGAGACCGAUAGCGAACAAGUACCGUGAGGGAAAGAUGAAAAGAACUUUGAAAAGAGAGUUAAACAGUACGUGAAAUUGUCAAAAGGGAAACGCUUGAAACCAGUAUUGCUGGCAAAUAAUCAGCCUUGCAAUUUGCAAGGUGCACUUGUUUGUUGGCAGGUCAACAUCAGUUUGACUUGGGGUAAAAAGCCAGAAGAAGGUGACCCAGAGCUUGCUUUGGGUGUUAUAGCUUCUGGUCCUGCCUUGGGUUGGACUGAGGACUGCAGCAUUUUUUGGGUACCCAGUCGCCUCCUGAAACCAUUUUGCAGACAGCUUGCUGACUGCGAGAUUGCGUAGGGAGCCCGGUUGGUUUUCCACACCAAUGCUUAGGGUGUUGACGAAAUGGUUUUAAACGACCCGUCUUGAAACACGGA